AAGUCGUAACAAGGUUUCCGUAGGUGAACCUGCGGAAGGAUCAUUAUGAAUUGCGUUAGGUCUCUCUUUACUGAGAGUCUAAUUCCUUUCUGUGAACUGGGUGUGACUUGCCCUUUUCUCGUUUCGUUUUGUCUUUUAUGCCUUUUCGCUUGCGUUGGGCAUUGUGAGGCAGGUGGAAAGGGAAGAGGGUGAGUUGUGCCGGGUGUGUGUGACUUUUGUUUCUCUCAUUCGCGUUUUCGUUUCUGUUGUCUUUCGCGCUUGCGUUGGGCAGCAAGAUGUGGAGGCGUUGAAUGUGGGGAGCGAGUCAUUCACACUACCGUUUGUAGUCUGUUGUGUUCUGUUCUUAAAGUUUUCUGUAAAAAGACAACUUUCAGCAAUGGAUCUCUUGGCUCUU
rnacentral:misc_RNA from 1 species